GGUUCCAUAGUGUAACAGCACAUCUGAUUUCCAUGCAAAAGGUCCUGGGUUCGCACCCCAGUGGAGCCA
rnacentral:tRNA from 1 species